GACGAACGCUGGCGGCGUGCUUAACACAUGCAAGUCGAACGGAAAGGCCUGCUUUCCCUUGUGGUUUGCGGGUACCCGAGUGGCGAACGGGUGAGUACCACGAGCGAGAUCUGCCCCCACCUUGGGAAAAAGCCUGGGAAACUGGGCCAAAAUCCCGAUAGGACUGAAGGGUGGUGCGGGUUGUGGAAAACGAUUUUCUAGUGGUUGGGGAUGAGCUGGCGGCCUAUCAGCUUGUCGGUGGGGUAGUGGCCUACGACGGCGGCGACGGGUAGCCGGCCUGGGGGGGUGGACGGCCACAUUGGGACUGAGAUACGGCCCAGACUCCUACGGGAGGCAGCAGUGGGGAAUAUUGCACAAUGGGCGGAAGCCGGAUGCAGCGACGCCGCGUGGGGGAUGCCGGCCUUCGGGUUGUAAACUCCUUUCGACCGCGAGGAAGCCGCCUGGUUGGAAGGUUGUUGACGGUAGUGGAAGAAGAAGCACCGGCUAACUCCGUG
rnacentral:rRNA from 1 species